CGGGGAGGAGCGCUGCAGGGUUGCUACCCUCUGCCCCUCCUCGCCCCGACCGCAUCUUCCAUUUCGGUGGCUGGCUUCGGGAGGGUGGCUGUGGAAAGGGCCGCGCCUCAUCAGAAGUUUGUUCUGAGUCAAAACCCUGGCCCCGAUCUGAGCCGCUUUCGUCCCCCACACCUUUCCACCAUGAUGUUCUACCUCAUCUUGGGCGCAGAGCAAUGGAGUCAGACAUCUAGGACUGAGACCUCUAAAACUGCAGGAGAUGGGAAGAUUGAUCUCAGAGGACUCUCCAGCCCAAGAGAAAAGCCUUCAAUUUUGACAUUGCCCUUGCCCCAAUAAAGCCAUCCAGGAGCUGACUAGAGUUGACAAACCUGCUUACAGCCUCAAAACUUCCCAUCCAUUUUACAAUGCUCUACUUUCCCUUUUAUUCGUCUAGAAUUCUACUAAGGCAUAAUUUACAAACAACAGCAUCAGCUAUGGAAAAGAGACAUUAAACUUCAAAAAAAUCCACCAGUAACAUCCUCUGAGCAAUGACAUUGAACAUCUUUAAAUAAGGACAGGAUACUGUAGAAAAGGAAGAGUCUUAGGGGAAAGAAAGUGAGUUCUAAAAAAAUUAAACUUGCAAUAGCAAAAAUUUAUGAUUCAAUAGAAAAGAUGGAAAAUAAACUGAUAAAUUUUCCUCAAAGGAGAAUGAGAAAAAUAAACAGAUAAAAAUAGAGAUGAAAAGAUGAGAAAUUUAGAAGAUUAGGCUAGGAUUAUUUAUCAGCCAGAAAAUGUCAUUCCAGCAGAAAAGAAAAGAAAAAAACAGUGGGAAAGGAAUUGUCAAGAACAUAAACCAAGAAACCACCCUGGAAAUGAGAGUGCCCCUCAUAAUAUGUGAGACUAGCCCCAGACCAUAGCUCAUCAUGGUGACAUUUCAGAACAAUGGGACAAAGAGAAGAUACUGGAGACUUCUGGAUAGGGGGAAAAAAAAUAAAGGUUCCAUACAAUGUAUCAUGAAGCACAAUGAUUUCAAACUUCUCAAUAGCAUCAUGAGUCUGGAAAACAAUAAAGUAAAGCCUUUAAAAUUCU